GACGAGGGGUCCUAGCGUUGUUCGGAAUCACUGGGCGUAAAGCGUAUGUAGGCGGCUUUUCAAGUCAGGUGUGAAAUCCCACGGCUUAACCGUGGAACUGCAUUUGAAACUGUAAAGCUUGAGUAUUGGAGAGGAUGGUAGAAUUCCUGGUGUAGUGGUGAAAUACGUAGAUAUCAGGAGGAAUACCGGUGGCGAAGGCGGCCAUCUGGCCAAAUACUGACGCUGAGAUACGAAAGUGUGGGGAUCAAACAGG
rnacentral:rRNA from 1 species